UCGGAAAAGAAAACGAAAGUCCCCAAGUGCCUCGGUUGCCGUUGCAGAUGGGUGGCUUUGAAUGGCGCCUUCCGGCACCACCCUACCCCACUCUUUCGGACCCCAAACGUUGGACAUUUUGGCCCAGGUGACUUGUGGUUUUACCGUCCCUGUCCAGAAACCAGAACUGGCCGAUAACACCUCUGUAGCUGAACGCUUGUAAGAAGUAAAACUUUGCGUUUUACCAAUUUUCGU